rfam:Candida parapsilosis strain CDC317 annotated contig 005569
GCCUGGCUAGCUCAAUCGGCUAGAGCAUUCGACUCUUAAAUAGAAGAUAUCGAAAGGUUGCGGGUUCGAGUCCCGCGUUGGGUU